rnacentral:rRNA from 1 species
UAGAAUAUUAAAUGGCCGCGGUAUUUUGACCGUGCAAAGGUAGCAUAAUCGUUAGUUUUUUAAUUGGAAUCUUGUAUGAAUGGUUGGACAAAAGAAUAUCUGUCUCUAUGUUGUUUAUUGAAUUUAACUUUUAAGUGAAAAGGCUUAAAUACAUUAAGGGGACGAUAAGACCCUAUAAAGCUUAAUAUUAAAAUAUUAUUAGGUCAAAUUUUUCACUAUAAAGGGCUAAUAAUUAAAUUUAUUUUGUUGGGGCGACAAGAGUAAAAUGACUAUUAACUGCUUAUUUUUAAACACACUUAUUAGUGAUUGGGUAUUUAAAUGAUCCUAAGUAGAGAUUAAGAGUUUAAGUUACUUUAGGGAUAACAGCGUUAUUUUUCUUGAGAGUACUUAUCGAAAGAAGAGUUUGCGACCUCGAUGUUGAAUUAAAAUAACUUUAUAAUUGUAGCAGUUAUAAGAGUAGGUCUGUUCGACCUUUAAAAUUUUA